GUUGGUAGCCUCCCAUUGCAAUCUCAGAGUCCCUCGCACCAUCCAUCGACCUCUGGUUGAUGUUAGCAGAUCCAAUGAUGAUAUAUUCAUCGUCAACUGCAAAGUGAGACGUCAAGUAAAUCACACAUGCAUUUAUCCAAUUUUUUUUUAAAAAAAUACCAUUGGAUAGCACUAAAUCAAGUUUUUCAAAGAAAAAAAAAAUAGAGGAAAACCACAAAAAUUAGCAUUAAAUUUUUUUUAAACUGUUUUUAGUUAGUUUGGAGUUUACUGGUUAAAGUUUAGAGUUUAAUGUUUAGAAGAUGAGAUUAGAAUUGGUUUAGAAUGUAAAAUAAUUUAAUGUUUUUAUUGAUUAAUAAAUUCUAUUUUGAAUAUUAAACUAGAGUUAGUAUUUAGUAUAAUGCAAAAUAAUUUAGUGGUUUUAUUAAUUAAUAGAUGCUAUUUUGAAAAGAAAAAAAAAUUGAAGACUAUUUUUAUGAAAAAAAUAAAAAAAAUUGCUAUUUAGGAGAUUUGUUUUUUUUAAUGAAUUAGUAAACUUACCGAUCAUCAUUUUGGUGUGGACGUAGAUCAUGAAGCGACGUGCUUCUUGUGCCUUCAUAUAGCUCGAGUCAGCGUCUGGUCUCUCUGCUGGCUCAUACUCUCCUUCUUUCUUAACCUCACGGUUUCCUAAGCAGAAGAACGUCA
rnacentral:lncRNA from 1 species